rnacentral:rRNA from 1 species
CAGUAGCGUAUAUUAAAGUUGUUGCAGUUAAAAAGCUCGUAGUUGAAUUUCGGGUCCCCGCGCUCGGCGCUUCAUUGUGCCGUCGUGGUGUCCCUCCUCGCCGUAAGGCGUCCUUUACUGUGAAAAAAUUAGAGUGUUCAAAGCAGGCAAUCGCUUGAAUACAUUAGCAUGGAAUAAUAAGAUAGGAUCUUGUCUAUUUUGUUGGUUGCGGACAACGAUAAUGAUUAAUAGGGAUAGUUGGGGGUGUCCGUAUUGAGCUGUCAGAGGUGAAAUUCUUGGAUUUGCUCAAGACGAACUACUGCGAAAGCAUUCACCAAGGAUGUUUUCAUUAA